rnacentral:rRNA from 2 species
AAAUUGAAGAGUUUGAUCAUGGCUCAGAUUGAACGCUGGCGGCAGGCCUAACACAUGCAAGUCGAACGGUAACAGGAAGCAGCUUGCUGUUUCGCUGACGAGUGGCGGACGGGUGAGUAAUGUCUG